GGGUAAAACUCCUGCUUGUUACCGUUUCAUCUGGCCGAAGCCGGAUGUCGUUUUGGUGUCUGAUUCGGUAAAGAACCGGGAGCACCAUCUGCGUA
rnacentral:ncRNA from 1 species